rnacentral:pre_miRNA from 1 species
GAACGACGACAGGGUCCGUCGCUCACUUACAUCUUGGAGUACUGCAUCUUCGGAUCUGUUGCGCCUUCCGUGCCUGCUCUGGCAAUCGUCAUGAGCCGUUGGAAUGUGGAAAAUUCCUAUCGUGAAUCAUGGUGGUUUGAGAACCGCGCGGAAAGCAACAUUCAAAUUUGUGGAUGCAUUACUCCAAGAAGUGCGUGGGCAACGGGCUACUUGCAGCUG